CAAUAGCGUAUAUUAAAGUUGUUGCAGUUAAAAAGCUCGUAGUUGGAUUUCUGGUGGGAGCGAUCGGUCUGGCGCUUAGCGCGAGUACUUGCAUCGUCUCCGGCCAUCCUUGGGGAGAGUCUGUCUGGCAUUAAGUUGUCGGGCAGAGGAUCCUCAUCGUUUACUGUGAAAAAAUUAGAGUGUCCAAAGCAGGCUUAUGCCGUUGAAUAUAUUAGCAUGGAAUAAUAAGAUAGGACUUUGGUACUAUUUUGUUGGUUUGCGCACCAAAGUAAUGAUUAAUAGGGACAGUUGGGGGUAUUCGUAUUCCGUUGUCAGAGGUGAAAUUCUUGGAUUUACGGAAGACGAACUACUGCGAAAGCAUUUACCAAGGAUGUUUUCAUUAA
rnacentral:rRNA from 1 species